rnacentral:lncRNA from 1 species
AUCAAAAAACAGAAAAUGGUACACUAUUAUUAUUGUAGCCAGGGGUGAUAGUCCUAUGUGUGUGUACAUAUAAAUGCAGGCAGGUCAUCUACUGGUGGCUGCACAUUUAUCUAGUUAUCUACUACUAGAUAGGUACAUGCAUAACAGUUAUGCUGUUUUGAACAUGUAUAUUAUUUUCCAUCUAGCAUAUUGAGGACAUCCUAAAGAGUGGAAAAUUUAACAGGGACUAUGGCAAAUAUCAGAAGGAAGUGACUCUGGAAGAUGCUAAAGAUUUAAAGCAGUUCCUGGAGAAUGAAGUGAAGGUUUGGUCAAACAAACUAGAGGACCUGGAACAAAAAUUUCUUGCCUGUGAAGCUGUUCAACCUUUGGUUCAACAGCCUCCUAAUAAGAGAACCAGGAAGCGAAAAUUAGAACAGAAACUUAACCAGGAAGAAAAUCUAGAAAUGGAAAAGCUGGCAGCUUCACUACAGAUUGCUCAUUUUCAUAAGGUUUUCAAAGAAUGGAAUGAAAUUGCCAAGGUGGUGCGCAGCAGUGAAUUUGGGGAAAGUGAGGAUGAACAAAUUGACAUCUUUGAUGUAAAGGUCAGAUUAAUUACAACAUAGCUUGAUAAUUAUGGCCCAAUAACCUAAUAGCUAGAUACUGUCAGUGACCAACAUUGUUUGUCUUUAUCUAUUUAGGGUAUUUGGGUAUUUCGACAGGUUUAAUCAUCAGGGAAAUUUGGGGAAAUUAUAUUUUGUUGUGCUAAGAUACUUGGCUAUAAGAUGCACCCUGAGUUUAGAACAGAUUGCAAAAAUACUGCACCAUAUAACCAAAAACAUGCAGUUAUUUCUUGGGCAAUACUUGUUGUUUAUAUACACAUGAUUUGGAGUAUGACAAUGUUUGAAAUAUUGAAAUGCAUCAGUAAAUACCUGCAUCUAUUAUAAAUUGCUGGUGGAAAAAAAAAAAAGAAUUAUUAUAAGCAGCACUUGGCAGCAACUUUAAUGAGAUCUGGUCAUUACCAAAAUAUUUGGAAUAUCAAUUUCCAGUUCC